AAGUCGUAACAAGGUUUCCGUAGGUGAACCUGCGGAAGGAUCAUUACAAAUAAAGCUGGCUUAGGGAAGUCCGGGUCCCUUGUAUCCUGUAAGUCGGUUAGAUGCGCAACAGUCCGGACUGGCCCUCCCCGAAAUGGUCUUUAACCAUGUCCCCCACAGCCUGAAGGCCGAAUUACAACCCUUGAUUAUCUAACUACUUGUUGCUUUGGGGUGCUCAAGUGCCCCCAGAGGACCCAACUCUCUUGCAAUUUUAGUGACGAUCUGAGUACUUAUAUAAUUUUAAAAA
rnacentral:misc_RNA from 1 species